CCUACGGGAGGCAGCAGUGGGGGAUAUUGCACAAUGGGGGAAACCCUGAUGCAGCGACGCCGCGUGUGGGAAGACGGUCCUCUGGAUUGUAAACCACUGUCCCCAGGGACGAAAAUGACGGUACCGGGGGAGGAAGCGCCGGCUAACUACGUGCCAGCAGCCGCGGUAAGACGGAGGGAGCGAGCGUUGUCCGGAAGUACUGGGUGUAAAGGGAGCGUAGGCGGGGAUGCAAGUUGGGUGUCCAAACUACCGGCUCAACUGGUAGUCGCACUCAAAACUGCAGCUCUUGAGGGAAGUAGAGGCAGGCGGACUUCCUCGUGUAGCGGUGACCUGCGUCGAUAUUAGGCG
rnacentral:rRNA from 1 species